rnacentral:rRNA from 1 species
CCUACGGGAGGCAGCAGUGAGGAAUAUUGUACAAUGGGCGAAACCCUGAUGCAGCGACGCCGCGUGAAUGAAGAAGGAAUUCGUUAUGUAAAGCUCUAUCAGCAGGGAAGAAAAUGACGGUACCUGAGUAACAAGCCCCGUCUAACUACGUGCCAGCAGCCGCGGUAAUGCGUAGGUGGCAAGCGUUAUCCGGAUUGAUUGGGUGUAAAGGGUGCGUAGACGGAGAAGCAAGUUAGUUGUGAAAUCCCUCGGCUUAACUGAGGAAUUGCAACUAAAACUACUUCCCUUGAGUACUGGAGAGGAAGGUGGAAUUCCUAGUGUAGCGGUGAAAUGCGUAGAUAUUAGGAGGAACACCAGUGGCGAAGGCGACUUUCUGGACAGUAACUGACGUUGAGGCACGAAAGUGUGGGUAGCAAACAGGAUUAGAUACCCUUGUAGUC